rnacentral:rRNA from 1 species
UGGUUAGUACUUGGAUGGGAGACCGCCUGGGAAUAAUAA